rnacentral:lncRNA from 1 species
GUUUCAUCAGCCCUGCUUUCUCCCGCUCCGUGACUUUGCAUCAGUUGUCAUGAGGAUGAUUAAAUAAUUUAGCACUUAGCCCCCUGCUGUACUCCUUGGCCUGGAUCAUGACCACACCGAAGGAGUGCCCACCAGCAAGAGACCUGGAGACAUCCCCAGUAAGUGCAAAAGCUGGACACAGUCUUAGGGUCUCCUGCCGGAGGCGGAGGGGAUGAGGGGAAAUGCAUUGCGGCUCCAAGAGGAAUCGCUGGGGAGUGAAUAUUGGAAGGACUGUGUGUGUGCAUUCUGAGCUUCCCAGCAGCCCAGGGGUGGAAAAUAGUGUGUCAAUCACUACAUCAGCCUAGAAUACAACAUCCUCCACUUCCCUGGUAACCUCCCCUCUACUGCCUCUAGACCACUUCAAGUCAUUCCAGAAAUGGCUGAGCCCUUUCACCCUACAGGGUUGACUGGAUCAGAGGAGAACCCCGGGCCAAGCUGGACCAAUCAGAGUUUCCAUCCCUGAAUUUGGAAUUGGAGCUAAGCUAGAACCUGUCUCUUUGAUGGCAGUAAAUGUGAAGCUCAAACACUAGUGAUUGGCUUCUCUCUCCAAAAAGACUAUGGACACAAACAAAGCCAGUCUUCAGAAAGACAGGAACAAGAAUGAUGCAGACACAUCAUGUGUGCAGAGAUGAGAGCCCUAGGUUACCUGCAUCUGCUUCUUGCACCUUCCUGAGACCUGGCAUCAUCACUACCCACGCUGUAAUUCCCCGAGACAACCCUGGCCCAGGCCCCUUUCACUGCUUUAAUUCCUGCAAGCAGAAUCUGGGAUGAACAGUCUGCAUGCCUCUCGCCACCUGUCCCAGGGAUUCCCUGUUCCACAAGACACUUGGGAUCUGCUUGUCAUGCAUCAUGCGUAACUAAUAGUGCAGAGGAAUUAAUACAGUUAAGUGAAACGUCCGUCAGUGGGAAGCCGGAGCAAGGGAAAAUUCUCCUUCCUUUCCCCUCCUCGACUGCCCUGGUUUCAUGUGGCCUCAUGGCAGAAGCCCGCCAGACUGCUACCUGGAUGCAACCAGCUAAAUAACCUGCCCUCAUAUUGAUUCUCCCUCCUCCCCUGCUUCUCCACACUUUUCCCUCACUCUUGCCUUCCUGGGAUUGGACCCCUCAUAAAUUUCAUAACACAAAUCCUUGCCUCAGGCUCUGCUUUUUAGGGAACUCAAUCCAAGACAUUCUUGGU